rnacentral:sRNA from 1 species
GGUGGACCAUCAACGACAAGCCGUCCCUGACCUUCCAGAACGUGGUCUUCAACGUCAUUUAUCAGAGCGCGGCAGUCUUCAAGCUCUCACUGACGGCCUCCAACCACGUGAGCAACGUCACCGUGAACUACAACGUCACCGUGGAGCGGAUGAACAGGAUGCAGGGCCUGCGGGUCUCCACAGUGCCGGCCGUGCUGUGCCCCAAUGCCACGCUGGCACUGACGGCGGGCGUGCUGGUGGACUCGGCCGUGGAGGUGGCCUUCCUGUGGACAUUUGGGGAUGGGGAGCAGGCCCUCCACCAGUUCCAGCCUCCGUACAACAAGUCCUUCCCGGUUCCAGACCCCUCGGUGGCCCAGGUGCUGGUGGAGCACAACGUCACGCACACCUACGCUGCCCCAG